GACGAACGCUGGCGGCGUGCCUAAUACAUGCAAGUAGAACGCACAGUUUAUACCGUAGCUUGCUACACCAUAGACUGUGAUUUGCGAACGGGUGAGUAACGCGUAGGUAACCUGCCUGGUAGCGGGGGAUAACUAUUGGAAACGAUAGCUAAUACCGCAUAAUAUUAAUUAUUGCAUGAUAAUUAAUUUAAAGGUGCAAUUGCACCACUACCAGAUGGACCUGCGUUGUAUUAGCUAGUAGGUGAGGUAACGGCUCACCUAGGCGACGAUACAUAGCCGACCUGAGAGGGUGAUCGGCCACACUGGGACUGAGACACGGCCCAGACUCCUACGGGAGGCAGCAGUAGGGAAUCUUCGGAAAUGGACGAAAGUCUGACCGAGCAACGCCGCGAGAGGGAAGAAGGUUUUCGGAUCGUAAAGCACUGUUGUAAGAGAAGAACGGGUGUGAGAGUGGAAAGUUCACACUGUGACGGUAUCUUACCAGAAAGGGACGGCUAACUACGUG
rnacentral:rRNA from 1 species